GACCUUUAUAGGGUUGCCUGUCAACUUGCCUUUUAGUUGAUUUUAGAUCCAGUCAAGUUGACAGUCACAAUUAAACAUCAUGGGGGUGGGGAGUAGGGUGAGUCACUUGUUUCUUUUAUCAAUAUGGUUACAUUGAAUAAAUUAUUUUUCACUGUUAAUGGGUCUCUUUUUAACUGACCUAUUAAGAAUGAGUAGCUGAUCCUGGUUUGUUAGGGCUUCGGAGACGCAGGCUGACCUUAGCAAUUCCAGUAACACGAGGGUUGACUGAGAAGUACAUGCCAGGUUCUUAGUCUCAUGCCUGGAACACAGUGACUACUCAGGAAGUUGUUUUUGAAUAAUUUUCCUGUGGAUGAAAACUUGGCCAAAGAAUGACAAGUGGAAAAGCCUACUCCAAAUCCUUUCAAAAGAAAGCAAAUUUGUCAGAGACCAUUAUUCCCUUGUGAAAACAUUUCCCUUUAAAAAUCCUUUUCAAGGGUGGGAAAGAUGACUCUGUCAUUAAGAGCUUACAGCUUGCUGCUUUUGAAGACAAUCCAGGUUAAGUUUGCAGAAUCCACAUGGUGCUAUCAAUAACUCUAGUUCCAGGGGAUGAGAUGCUCUUCUGACCUCUGCAGGUUCCUGCAUGCACAUGAUACACACACACACACACACACACACACACACACACACACACACACUCAGGCAUACACACAAAUACAUAAAAUAAAAAGAAUAAAAGAAUUCCAUUCUAUCUUUGUAUGUGCACAUGUGUGUGUUCUGAGGCAUGUUUGCUCUAGUGUUUGCUUGUGCGUGUACACAUUGAGGCCAGAAGUUGCUGAUGUUACGAUGUCUUCUUUGCUUUCUACCUUGUCUGUCUGAUUUGUUUGUUUGUUUGUUUGUUUAAGACAAAGACUCUAACUGAACUUAGAACUAGGCUGUAUGACCAAUGACCCUUCAGAUGAAUCUGUCUCAGUGAAUCAGGUACAGGAACUCUGCCUUAAACAAAGACAUCUGGCACCAUUUAUGAGUGCAAAUGCAGAGGCAGGAUGACUCUCAGCAAGCAAUUUUACAUGUGCUGACAUCAACACCUGUUCAUCGCCACAACGAGACACCAACUAUUCCUAAGAGGAAAAAGAUGUAACCUAUAUACCCACAAAGUGGAUUGGGAAUAUAUGGUCAUAUGGUAUAUUAAAACCAUAUCAUAGAAACUAUUGAGAAUUUACCUAACACAUCAUGACAACAAAGUGAACAGCACCCUACCUGAACCAUGUAAAAGGGAAAAAGCUGUAAUGAAGACAUCCCUAUGAACCUGUCAACUAUCUUGUGUGUGUACACUGGAAGACAGACAGACAUAGAAGUCCUGACUGUCCUUGAUGCUUCAGCUCAGCAUGCUACUUGAUGUCCUACAGCUUGAUGUCGCCCACUAAAGUUUCUAGUUUUUGACAGGUCCUAUGUCUCUUAGGCUCUACUCUACCCUGCAACCCAAUAACUUGGCUAUGUGGGUCUACAAAAUCUUCAACCAGAUUAAUAAAGGUCUACUGUAAACACCUUCAGUGACUCUUCAUAUAUGCAUCAGCUUUCUGCCUGCCUCUUCGAGGUCUCUGACAUUUGAGGCUUCUUCAAUCCUUUUAUAGCCAUUCUAUUUCAUGAUAUAUUGCAUAACAUUCUGUUUAUAACUGUGCCAAGUAUAAUAAGAUGUGAUCCAAGAGUUAACGUUAGUAAUUAUGGGUGGUUUUCUUGUGCCGUUCGUUUGGUUUUUGGUUUUUAAGAUAAGGUCUCACUCACUAUGUAACCCUAUCUGGACUGGAACUGUCUUUGUAGACCAGGUUGGCUUCAAGCUUUCACAGAUCUCCCUCCUUCGUCCUCAAGUGCUAGAAUUAAAGGUAUGCACCACCACACAGGACAAUAUUUUAAAUCAAAGUCACAGAAGCUGUGAUUACAAUGUCCAGCUGCCAAGAAAAAUCCAAAUUACUAGGUAAAUAGCAGGAGCAAAGCUAAUACAACUCGUGAAUGAACCGUUUUGCAACAAAUUCUGGCAUUGUGGAAAGACACAAGCACAUGUCUGUUCCUGGAAUACAGCUUUAAUGGCAGACGGAAAAAGGAACUUAGGAGAGUCUGAUACCAAACCUAGAUGUGAUUUUGUCUGGGUCUCUAAUUACUAAAGACAUAAACUCAUCUAAAACAACAAACAACAACAACAAACAACAACAACUCCACCAUGAUCACUAAAAGAAUGGUCAGUAAAUCAGAUGGGGUGACUGAGAAGUGGGAGGCUCUUCACCAUCCUUCACCAAAGAGUGAAAACCAAAGGGACCUACAUCUGCCAAAGGAGACCAUGGUAAUCUCUGGGCUCACAUCCUGUGCUUGCUGCAAUACCAGGACCUUUUGCACAUCUCCAAUUUCCUGACUUACCUCUUUCGAGGGACAGUUAUCCUAAAGGGUCUCAGUAGGAAGCUCUGAUUCCUCUUGAGGAAGAAGGAAAUGCAUUUUUAAAAAAUUCCCAGACAAUUAUUAUGUUGAAAUUGGGGUUUUGGUUUCUUCGCAAUCCUUCACAUGACCACAUCUGAAAAACUAAUUUCCAUUCUGCCCUGAAGGCAUUACACACCAAUCGUGGCAUUGUCAAACCUCAUAGCCAUUUUAAACAUGCCAGGCUAACGGUUCAAGCUGAAAGUAGAAAGGAUUUUCCAUUAAGCUGCCAAUAGUAACGUAAUACAAUGAAGGCAAUUGUCACUAGAUGAUUCAUCUAGUUAGAAUCUCAACUCCCUUUCUGGGUAGAAAAUAUGAAGCUUGCUUAUUUAUAUUAGACACCAAGCAAAUACUUACUCAUAAUUCAGCUAUUCUGUAUCCAAGCAAGGCAGAGACUCCAAGCAGGGAGGUAGAAAGGCAAAUGUUCACUUUGGCUAUCAGUAAACGUCAUAGCCUUUCUAAAUUUGUCACUUUUCCACACACACACACACACA
rnacentral:lncRNA from 1 species